rnacentral:tRNA from 1 species
GCGCGCAUGGCGGAAUUGGCAGACGCACCAGACUUAGGAUCUGGCGGAGCGAUCCUUGGGGGUUCAAGUCCCUCUGCGCGCA